CCUACGGGUGGCAGCAGUAGGGAAUCUUCCACAAUGGGCGCAAGCCUGAUGGAGCAACACCGCGUGAGUGAAGAAGGGUUUCGGCUCGUAAAGCUCUGUUGUUGGAGAAGAAAGUGCGUGAGAGUAACUGUUCACGCAGUGACGGUAUCCAACCAGAAAGUCACGGCUAACUACGUGCCAGCAGCCGCGGUAAUACGUAGGUGGCAAGCGUUAUCCGGUUUUUUUUGGCGGAAAGGGAGCGCAGGCGGUCGCUUAGGUGGGAUGGGAAAGCCUUCGGCUUAACCGAAGCAGUGCAUCGGAAACCGGGCGACUUGAGUGCAGAAGAGGACAGUUGAACUCCAUGUGUAGCGGUGGAAUGCGUAGAUAUAUGGAAGAACACCAGUGGCGAAGGCGGCUGUCUGGUCUGCAACUGACGCUGAGGCUCGAAAGCAUGGGUAGCGAACAGGAUUAGAUACCCGUGUAGUC
rnacentral:rRNA from 1 species